AACGAACGCUGGCGGCAGGCUUAACACAUGCGAGUCGAGCGCCCCGCAAGGGGAGCGGCAGACGGGUGAGUAACGCGUGGGAAUCUACCCAUCUCUACGGAAUAACGCAUGGAAACGUGUGCUAAUGCCGUAUACGUCCUUCGGGAGAAAGAUUUAUCGGAGAUGGAUGAGCCCGCGUUGGAUUAGCUAGUUGGUGGGGUAAAGGCCUACCAAGGCGACGAUCCAUAGCUGGUCUGAGAGGAUGAUCAGCCACACUGGGACUGAGACACGGCCCAGACUCCUACGGGAGGCAGCAGUGGGGAAUAUUGGACAAUGGGCGCAAGCUUGAUCCAGCCAUGCCGCGUGAGUGAUGAAGGCCCUAGGGUUGUAAAGCUCUUUCACCGGUGAAGAUAAUGACGGCAACCGGAGAAGAAGCCCCGGCUAACUUCGUGCCAGCCGCCGCCGUAACAC
rnacentral:rRNA from 1 species